rnacentral:rRNA from 1 species
AGUGAACGCUGGCGGCAGGCCUAACACAUGCAAGUCGAACGGCAGCACAGAGGAGCUUGCUCCUUGGGUGGCGAGUGGCGGACGGGUGAGGAAUACAUGGGAAUCUGCUCAAUCGUGGGGGAUAACGUAGGGAAACUUACGCUAAUACCGCAUACGACCUACGGGUGAAAGCGGCGGACCGCAAGGCAUCGCGCGAGUUGAUGAGCCCAUGUCGGAUUAGCGAGUUGGCGGGGUAAAGGCCCACCAAGGCGACGAGCCGAAGCUGGUCGGAAGUGAAUGUAAGUCACUCUGGAACUGAGACACAGUCCAGCCUCCUACGGGAGGCAGCGGUGGGGAAUAUUGGACAUUGGGCGCAAGCCUGAUCCAGCCAUGCCGCGUGAGUGAAGAAGGCCCUCGGGUUGUAAAGCCCUUUUGUCCGGAAAGAAAUCCUUCCGGCUAAUACCCGGAUGUGAUGACGGUACCGAAAGCAUAAGCACCGGCUAACUUCGUGCCAGCCGCCGCCGUAACAC